ensembl:lncRNA
AACUGCUGCACCAACAUUGACAACUGCUGCACAAACGACAACUGCUGCACCAACAACGACAACUGCUGCACUAACAACAACUGCUGCACCAACAAGGACAACCGUGGGUCCAACAACCACAACAGCAGCUCCAAGUACCACAACUCCAGUUCCAACUACAACAACAGCACCUCCACCAACCACAACUGCAGCUCCAACAACAACAGGCCUGGGUCCACCAACCACCACAGCAGCUCCAACAACCACAACAGCGGCUCCAACAACCACAACAGCACUUCCAACAACCACCACAGCAGCUCCAACAACCACAACAGCUGCUCCAACAACCACAACAGCUGCUCCAACAACCACAACAGCAGCUCCAACAACUUCAACAGUGGCACCAACAACCAUAACAGCGGCUCCAACAACCACAACCACGGCACCAACACUGACAACUGCUGGACCAACGACAACUGCUGCACAAACGACAACUGCUGCACCAACAACGACAAUUGCUGCAUCAACAACUGCAUCACCAACGACAAUAACAGCUGCACCAACAUUGACAUCUGUUGCACCAACGUCAACUGCUGCACAAAUGACAACUGCUGCACCAACAACGACAACUGCUGCACCAACGACAAUUGCUGCAUCAACAACGACAACUGCAGCACCAACGACAAUAACUGCUAAACCAACAACAACUGCUGCACCAACAACUGCUUCACUAACAACGACAACUGUUGCACCUACAACAACUGCUGUACCAACAACGACAAUUCCUGCACCAGCAACGAUAAUUGCUGCAUCAACAACAAUAACUGCUGCACCAACAUUGACAACUGUUGCACCAACGACAACUGCUGCACAAACGACAACUGCUGCACCAACAACGACAACUGCUGCAAAAACGACAACUGCUGCACAAACGACAACUGCUGUACCAACAACGACAAAUGCUGCACAAACAACAACUGCUGCACAAACGACAACUGCUGCACCAACAACGACAACUGCUGCACCAACAGCGACAAUAACUGCUGCACCAACAUUGACAACUGUCGCACCAAUAACGACAACUGCUGUACCAACACCAACCACUGCUACACCAAUGACAACUGCUGCACCAACAACUGCUUCACUAACAACGACAACUGCUGCACCAACUACAACAACUGCUGCACCAACAACGACAACUGCUGCAGGAACAACAACAACAACUACUGCACUAACAACAACAACUACUGCAUCAACCACAACUGCUGCACCUACAACGACAACUGUUGCACCUACAACAACAACUGCUGCAUCAACAACGACAACUGCAGCACCAACGACAAUAACUGCUGCACCAACAUUGACAACUGUUGCACCAACGACAUCUGCUGCACAAACGACAACUGCAGCUCCAACAACAACAGGCCUGGGUCCACCAACCACAACAGCAGCUCCAACAACCACAACAGUGGCUCCAACAACCACAGGCCCGGAUCAACCAACCACAACAGCAGCUCCAACAACCACAACAGCUGCUCCAACAACCACAACAGCAGUUCCAACUACCACAACAGUUCCAACUACCACAACAGCAGCUCCAACAACUUCAACAGUGGCACCAACAACCAUAACAGCGGCUCCAACAACCAUAACAGCGGCAACAACACCGACAACUACUGGAUCACCGACAACUGCUGCACAAACGAUAACUGCUGCACCAACCAUGACAGCUGCUGCACCAACGACAACUGCUGCACAAACGACAACUGCUGCACCAACAAUUGCUGCAUCAACAAUGACAACUGCAGCAUCAACGACAAUAACUGCUGCACCAACAUUGACAACUGCUGCACAAACGACAACUGCUGCACCAACAACGACAACUGCUGCACUAACGACAACUGCUGCACCAACAACGACAACCGUGGGUCCAACUACCACAACAGCAGCUCCAAGUACCACAACUCCAGUUCCAACUACAACAACAGCACCUCCACCAACCACAACUGCAGCUCCAACAACAACAGGCCUGGGUCCACCAACCACCACAGCAGCUCCAACAACCACAACAGCGGCUCCAACAACCACAACAGCACUUCCAACAACCACCACAGCAGCUCCAACAACCACAACAGCUGCUCCAACAACCACAACAGCAGCUCAAACAACUUCAACAGUGGCUCCAACAACCAUAACAGCGGCUCCAACAACCACAACCACGGCACCAACACUGACAACUGCUGGACCAACGACAACUGCUGCACAAAAGACAACUGCUGCACCAACAACGACAAUUGCUGCAUCAACAACGACAACUGCAUCACCAACGACAAUAACUGCUGCACCAACAUUGACAACUGUUGCACGAACGUCAACUGCUGCACAAAUGACAAUUGCUGCACCAACAACGACAACUGCUGCACCAACGACAAUUUCUGCACCAACAACGACAAUUGCUGCACCAACAACGACAAUUGCUGCAUCAACAACGACAACUGCAGCACCAACGACAAUAACUGCUCCACCAACAACAACUGCUGCACCAACAACUGCUUCACUAACAACGACAACUGUUGCACCUACAACAACAACUGCUGUACCAACAACAACAAUUCCUGCACCAGCAACGAUAAUUGCUGCAUCAACAACAAUAAUUGCUGCACCAACAUUGACAACUGUUGCACCAACGACAACUGCUGCACAAACGACAACUGCUGCACCAACAACGACAACUGCUGCAAAAACGACAACUGCUGCACAAACGACAACUGCUGUACCAACAACGACAAAUGCUGCACAAACAACAACUGCUGCACAAACGACAACUGCUGCACCAACAACGACAACUGCUGCACCAACAGCGACAAUAACUGCUGUACCAACAUUGACAACUGUCGCACCAAUAACGACAACUGCUGUACCAACACCAACCACUGCUACACCAAUGACAACUGCUGCACCAACAACUGCUUCACUAACAACGACAACUGCUGCACCAACUACAAUAACUGCUGCACCAACAACGACAACUGCUGCAGGAACAACAACAACAACUACUGCACUAACAACAACAACUACUGCAUCAACCACAACUGCUGCACCUACAACGACAACUGUUGCACCUACAACAACAACUGCUGCAUCAACAACGACAACUGCAGCACCAACGACAAUAACUGCUGCACCAAUUGUGACAACUAUUGCACCAACGACAUCUGCUGCACAAACGACAACUGCAGCUCCAACAACAACAGGCCUGGGUCCACCAACCACAACAGCAGCUCCAUCAACCACAACAGCGGCUCCAACAACCACAGGCCCGGAUCAACCAACCACAACAGCAGCUCCGACAACCACAACAGCUGCUCCAACAACCACAACAGCAGUUCCAACUACCACAACAGUUCCAACUACCACAACAGCAGCUCCAACAACUUCAACAGUGGCACCAACAACCAUAACAGCGGCUCCAACAACCAUAACAGUGGCAACAACACCGACAACUGCUGGAUCACCGACAACUGCUGCACAAACGACAACUGCUGCACCAACCACGACAACUGCUGCACCAACGACAACUGCUGCACAAACGACAACUGCUGCACCAACAACUGCUUCACUAACUACGACAACUGCUGCACCAACGACAACAACUGCUGCACCAACAACGACAACUGCUGCACCAACAACGACAACUGCUGCACCAACAACGACAUUUGUAGCACCAACAACAACAACUGCUGCACCAACGACAACAACUGCUGCACCAACAACGACAACUGCUGCACCAACAACGACAUUUGUAGCACCAACAACAACAACAGCUGCACCAACAACAACUACUGCACAAACAACAACUACUGCAUCAACCACAACUGCUGCACCUACAACAACAACUUUUUCACCUACAACAACAACUGCUGUACCAACAACGACAAUUGCUGCACAAACAACUGCUGCACCAACGACAACAACAGCUGCACCAACAACAACAACUUCUGCACCAACAACAACUACUGCACAAACAACAACUACUGCAUCAACCACAACUGCUGCACCUACAACAACAACUUUUUCACCUACAACGACAACUGCUGUACCAACAACGACAAAUGCUGCACAAACAACAACUGCUGCACAAACGACAACUGCUGCACCAACAACGACAACUGCUGCACCAACAGCGACAAUAACUGCUGCACCAACAUUGACAACUGUCGCACCAAUAACGACAACUGCUGUACCAACACCAACCACUGCUACACCAAUGACAACUGCUGCACCAACAACUGCUUCACUAACAACGACAACUGCUGCACCAACUACAAUAACUGCUGCACCAACAACGACAACUGCUGCAGGAACAACAACAACAACUACUGCACUAACAACAACAACUACUGCAUCAACCACAACUGCUGCACCUACAACGACAAUCUGUUGCACCUACAGCAACAACUGCUGCAUCAACAACGACAACUGCAGCACCAACGACAAUAACUGCUGCACCAACAUUGACAACUAUUGCACCAACGACAUCUGCUGCACAAACGACAACUGCAGCUCCAACAACAACAGGCCUGGGUCCACCAACCACAACAGCAGCUCCAACAACCACAACAGCGGCUCCAACAACCACAGGCCCGGAUCAACCAACCACAACAGCAGCUCCGACAACCACAACAGCUGCUCCAACAACCACAACAGCAGUUCCAACUACCACAACAGUUCCAGCUACCACAACAGCAGCUCCAACAACUUCAACAGUGGCACCAACAACCAUAACAGCGGCUCCAACAACCAUAACAGUGGCAACAACACCGACAACUGCUGGAUCACCGACAACUGCUGCACAAACGACAACUGCUGCACCAACCACGACAACUGCUGCACCAACGACAACUGCUGCACAAACGACAACUGCUGCACCAACAACUGCUUCACUAACUACGACAACUGCUGCACCAACGACAACAACUGCUGCACCAACAACGACAACUGCUGCACCAACAACGACAUUUGUAGCACCAACAACAACAACUGCUGCACCAACGACAACUGCUGCACCAACAACAACAACUUCUGCACCAACAACAACUACUGCACAAACAACAACUACUGCAUCAACCACAACUGCUGCACCUACAACAACAACUUUUUCACCUACAACAACAACUGCUGUACCAACAACGACAAUUGCUGCACCAACAACGGCAACUGCUGCACCAACGACAACAACUUCUGCACAAACAACGACAACUGCUGCACCAACGACAACAGCUGCUGCACCAACGACAACAACUGCUGCACCAACAACGAAAACUGCUGCACCAACAACGAAAACUGCUGCACCAACAACAACUACUGCACCAACAACAACAACCGCGGCUCAAACAACUACAAUAGCGGCUCCAAAAACCACAACAGCAGCUUCAACAACCAUAACAUUGGUUCCAACAACCACAACAGCGGCUCCAAAAACCACAGCUGCAGCUCUAAAAACCACAACAUUAGUUCCGACAACCACAACCCCGGGUCCAACAAACACAACCCCAGUUCCAACAACAAAAACAACAGCUCCAACAACCACAACCCUGGCUCCAACAACCACAACCCCGGCUCCAACAACCACUGUGACGAUAAUUCCUCCCGUCUUUUCAACCAUGGCGUAUUUACAAGUCAAGAUGAUUACCUUUGGUGAACUCAGCAACGACACCAUUUCGGGACUUCUUCAAGAGUUCUUCAGAAAUCAGCUCCCGACUGGAACAGCUCAUCUGCUCUCAGUGAAAAGAAUCCAAAGAAUUGCAAUUUAUUAAUAUUAGUUUGGGGUAUUGUGUUUAUAAAUGCACUUAACUUGUGGUUAAAAAAUAUCGAGAAACAUAUUGCUUACACAUUUACAUCAAAAAUGUAUUCCACGGAAACACACAACUGUAUAUAACAAUUGAAAUAUUCAGAAUUGAAACGUAAAUCCAAGCAUUUAUCAAAUAGUCAAAUAGUAUCGUCAAAAGACAAAUCAAUGGUCUUGUGAAAUCCUAAUUUCCUAAUAUUUUCUCAGUAAAUCAGUAACUAACUUUAUUAUUGUGAAUGUUUUUUAAUCAAUCUUUCAAAACAUGAUGCUGAUUUUCUUUCGGUUGUCUUUUAUUCUGUUUACAGAUCCAUGUUUUCACAUGACUUGGAUACAGUAAUAUUACUAUAAUUUGUAUUAAAUAAAGUGUUGACCAUCCGGACAUUUAAAUGAUCAUAAAUGCUUUGUCUACCAUAAAAGGUAAAUCACUCAGAGCAACCUUAAUUUAUGGUGUGUACAUUAUAUGCUAUUUUUGGCCAUCAAAGAUCCUCAUGAAACUGUACUGAAUUUAUUGUCUACGAUAAAGCCUUGCUAUUGGUGAACAUUGGUUACGUUGGAUGUAUGUGUCCGUGCGGGCGUGCGUGCGUGCAUCUGUGUGUGUGUUUGUGUUCCUCUUGCAGCCUUAAAGGUUGGGUAUGGGAAUUGCGAAACGCCAGCAGAUUUUGAAAAUACACAACUCAAAUGGCUAGCUAGGUUGGAGUUUAGGGUUGUCUUCUAGUGCUAGGUCCAAAUGUGGAUUAGCUAGUUAGCUAGCUCCAGUAGCUACCGCAAGAUUACAACAAACAGAAGCUUGCUCUGGGUCACAAGCUUUGAGUACGUGCACGUGCACGAAGGGGUCACUCUUCCUCAGUCCAUCUUCGGAAAAAUUGUAGGUUCAUGCUAGAGGUCAGCAACAGUGGCGAAGCUAGACCUUUUUUGGGUGGGCUCAAGCCCACCUAAAACCUGCCUUACUGUGCGUUCACACCAAAAGCUGUAAAGUGUUUUGAGCGAUAAACGGCCAUUCACUUUCUAUUAGACAUGAGCAAUAAAGCGAUAGGAGCGAUUAAAGGAUUGAGCUAUAGCUUUAAAGCUGUAAAGCUGUAAAUGAGAGUUGAAAACAGCUCAACUCUUUGCAAAUGAGCUAGUAGCGUAUCGGCUGUAAAUGACCGCCAGCCAAUCGGAAUGUAGAUCUCUUCUGCCGGCGUGGGUCCCAGUAAACAUAGGCGAGAACUUUAUUUCCUACCACACAUUUGUUCCUUCACCAUGAUGCGUGAGAGAUUAAUUGUGGCUAUUGCAGGGCAUCGUAUUUUUCCGCGAUUGCAUAGCCAACGUGGUCUUAUUAUAGCCCGAUCAUUAACUAAAAAACACAAGAAUAAAGCAUCCAGCAUAUGAUUUCAACAAUGUAUGAGGGCAUACGCAAUCCGCAUUGUUAAACAGGGAUGGUCGCACAGUGGAAUGCUGAUUGAAACCAUCGGACGAGCGGUGGAUGGAGGGUGCCAUGCCGUAAUUCCGACGCCUCAUUGUUCCGACGUCUCAAUGGUCCGAAAUAUUUCCCAUUAGAUCGACAUGCCACUAUGCCGACGGUUCAAUGUUCCGAAAACGGAACCCAUUGGUCCGAAGGUCUGUUUGUCCGACUUUUCAAAAAGGAGGCGCAUUAGGCCGACGGUUCAAUAUGCCGAAUAGGCCAAGGCGCAAUUCUACCUGUGUGAUUAUGAAACCAAAAAUAAAAGACGAUGUAGGCUAAGUUCCAGCAGUGCACUUCACCAAGCCAGACUGUUGCUGUGGGCUUGAACGGUCACAAGAGGGGAAUUUAUGAAGCGCACGUUAUACAAGGACUAAUACUUUUCCUGUAAAGAAGUCAAACGGUGAG